rnacentral:rRNA from 1 species
UGGCCUUGACAUUGAUAGAAUCCCGCAGAGAUGCAGGAGUGCCCUUCAAAGAACUUGAAAACAGGUGCUGCACGGCUGUCGUCAGCUCGUGUCGUGAGAUGUUGGGUUAAGUCCCGCAACGAGCGCAACCCUCGUCACUAGUUACUAACGGUUCGGCCGAGGACUCUAGUGAGACUGCCUUCGUAAGGAGGAGGAAGGUGAGGACGACGUCAAGUCAUCAUGGCCCUUACGGCCAGGGCUACACACGUGCUACAAUGGGGAGGACAAUGAGACGCAAUACCGCGAGGUGGAGCAAAUCUAUAAACCUUCUCUCAGUUCGGAUAGAUCUCUGCAACUCGAGAUCUUGAAGCUGGAAACGCUAGUAAUCGUAAAUCAGCAAUGUUACGGUGAAUCUGAAAGGGGGUCU